rnacentral:rRNA from 1 species
AACGAACGCUGGCGGCAUGCCUAACACAUGCAAGUCGAACGAAGGCUUCGGCCUUAGUGGCGCACGGGUGAGUAACGCGUGGGAAACUGCCUAUUGGUGGGGAAUAACGACGGGAAACUGUCGCUAAUACCGCAUAAGCCCUUCGGGGGAAAGAUUUAUCGCCGAUAGAUGUACCCGCGUCCGAUUAGCUAGUUGGUGAGGUAAUGGCUCACCAAGGCGACGAUCGGUAGCUGGUCUGAGAGGAUGAUCAGCCACACUGGGACUGAGACACGGCCCAGACUCCUACGGGAGGCAGCAGUGGGGAAUAUUGGACAAUGGGCGAAAGCCUGAUCCAGCAAUGCCGCGUGGGUGAUGAAGGCCUUAGGGUUGUAAAGCUCUUUCGGGUGGGACGAUGAUGACGGUACCACCAGAAGAAGCCCCGGCUAACUUCGUGCCAGCAGCCGCAGUAA